rnacentral:rRNA from 1 species
UACGUAGGGGGCAAGCGUUGUCCGGGUUUAUUGGGCGUAAAGAGCGUGUAGGCGGCUAGGUAGGUCCGUUGUGAAAACUCGAGGCUCAACCUCGAGACGUCGAUGGAAACCAUCUAGCUAGAGUCCGGAAGAGGAGAGUGGAAUUCCUGGUGUAGCGGUGAAAUGCGCAGAUAUCAGGAAGAACACCCGUGGCGAAGGCGGCUCUCUGGUACGUGACUGACGCUGAGACGCGAAAGCGUGGGGAGCAAACAGG